UCACCUCAUGCAAAAUUCCCCUCCUGGCCUGGCUGAGAAAGAACGCCCGAUUUCUUCGUUCCUCCCCAGCCUGGCUCGUUCGGUGCUGGUGCUCACACGCGCGCUUGGCGACUCCGUGCGCAGGGAGAUGGCGGGAAGCUCCUAGGGUUACCUCCCCGGUUCCCGCCAUUCACCGCCCACCUCCCUCUUCCUCUCUCUCUCUUCUUCUUCCUGUCUCUCAUCGUCUCCGCCGGUCUCGUGGAUCUGACUGUUCUUGAUUCAGGGACGCCAGAUCCGUGUUCUUAGCUGUUAUUUCGAUCUGAGCACCCUCACCUGAGCUAUUGGCCUUUCGCUGCUGCUGAGGCUCGUUGAUGUGGUUUUUUUUAUCUUUUCCUCUUAUCCUCCCUCCCUGAUUCUAUCCUCCCAUGGCUAUUUUGCUGAGCUCUUGCCAUUGCCUGUGAUGAUGUUGGAUACUUUACUGAGCUCUUGACAUUGCCUGUGAUGAUGUUGGAUACUUUACUGAGCUCUUGCCAUUGCUUGUGAUGAUGUUGGUUACUUUACUUAGCUAUUCCAUUGCCUGUGAUGAAAAAUUAUUUUUUCCCUGAGCUACUACCAUUGCUUAUGAUGAUGUUUUAUUAUCUGAGCUUUAUUAUCAUUAAGUUGUUGAAAUCUUCUCUGUUAUGGGCAGUAGCAAUGAUGGUAUUUUUUUGGUUCUGAUGCAAUGGCUCUAGCAAUGAUGUUAUUUUCAUAUGAUACUAACUUGUUCUGAGGCAAUGCCAAUAGCAAUGAUGUUCUUUUUCCUAUGAUACUAUACUUAUUCUGAUGCAAUGACAAUUGCAAUGAUGGUCUUCUUUUUCCUAUGAUACUACUAUUGUUCUGAAGCAAAGGCAAACACUUAUGCUGAGGCAAUGGACUUGUGCAAUGAUGAAUUCUUUUAUGUUUUACUACACUUAUGCUGAGACGAUGGACUUGUGCACUGAUGAAUUCUUUCAUGUUCUACUACACUUAUGCUGAGGCAAUGGACUUGUGCAAUGAUGAAUUAUUUCAUGUUUUACUACACUGCUGGUGGAGUAACCUAGCCUCUGCUCCCUAGUUCAACCUAGCUGGUGGAGUAAUUUGAAACUUUUGGCAAUCUGACCUUCUGCGUCCAUUGUCAAUGAUGUGAACCCUAUUUGGUCACUUGCAUGUGCUAUUAUUUGUUUCUGAGAACUUGUUCAUUGUCUGGGAUGCUUUCUGCAAGAUUUGAGCACAUGUCCUUUGCCUGUGAUGUUGUAUGCUUGGUUUGAGCACAUGUCCAUUGCCUAUGAUGCUGUUUGCUUGAUUUAAGCACAUGACCAUUGCAUGUGAUGCUUUUUCAAUGAUCUAAGCACAAGUUCAUUGCCUAUGAGGUGUUUUCCACAUAUCUGAGCAUAAGUUCAUUGCCUGUCUUUAUUUGUAAUAGUGGUAGUUGUAGCCUUGUUAGUUGGUUUUCUUAUUUAGAAAUGGAUGUAGUAGCAAAUGGUAUAUAGAUGAACUAGAGAGUGGUAAUGUUACCACUUCAUGCAGGAGGUAUCUAGAACUUGUUGUAUGCAAGCAACCAAACAAGCAAGGCUGCAUCUAUAAAUUCAAAUAGUGAAGAACAUGCAUCAAACCAAACAACAUCUUAGCUCAGCUUGGCUGAACGUAUGCAGGCAACCAAACCGCCAGCAUUGCAUGCAUUCAGCCUGGCUGGCUGGAGCUAGCCUGGCUAAGCUGAGAAGGGAACCAAACACGCCUACAGUGAAGUCAUGUCGUAUGCCUAUUCAACUAACAUGAUGCCCUGUCGGCCACUCUCUUGCCAAGGCCAUGCAACCGGCGUGACACUAGGGGACAAGGGACUUCACCAACUCCACGGGUGAAGGGGACCUGGACCUGCUCGUCAGCCCCUCCAGGUGAGGGAUCCCUGCAGGCCAAGGAAGCCUGGAGAAGUAUAACCUGAGGGAGGCUGUGCCGCAGCAGGUGGCACCAAACAUGGCAACAAGCAACACCGCAACAGUGGACUCAUGCACCCAAUGCAUAGACCAUAGACUAGAACCAACCGACUUGUACAAUUAAUCUAUACAGUUAUAAGAAAAAAAGAAAAUUGUCACCUGAAUUUUAA